GGAGAAAUGUCCUCAGCAGACUCUUGAAAUUCCCAGGUAGCUCUGAUGCUGCAAAGUUUUUGUUUUGUGCAUUAUUGUAAGCAAAGAGGAUCUGCUUUGAAGCCGAUUGAAGGGAGUGGAAGACUUUCCUUUAAGAUCACUUGUGACAAUAUGACAGCUAACACUCACUGCUGAAUAUAUGCCUCAAACAAUAAGGCCUUUAUGGGAUGUAUUAUAAAGAACUUUCUUACCUUUUAAAAGUAAAGAUUUACUUUUAAAGGUAAAGGUUUGCUCUUUAAAGAGCAAAUCUUUUCCAGUGUAUGUAGCAAACCUGGAGGCAAUACAGGGAGGAAACCCAUGUUGUUAACUUCAUUUCUUCAAAUGAUUUAACAGGUUAUUUGGCAAUGCUAGGAAGUCUGAUGGUAAAGAAUUACUCUUUUCAGUCAUGAAAGUGACUGAUUAUCAUUUGUGAACUUCUGUUUGACCUUGAUAACUUCCUGGAUUGGUAUAUUUUUGCCAAAACCGCAUGUCUCAACUGUUUUCUUACUGCAUACAUAGUUCAGUUGUGAUUCUUUUAAAAAAAGAUGUCUAAAUUCAUGGGCUAUUCACCAUGUGGAGAAAUAUGACUUGUUUCAUAAGUAACAUGGAAUGUUUGAUGUGGAAUUCAAGUAUUCUAUACUACACAUUUAAAUAUCUUCAUUGCUGAUAUAAGCUGAAAAAGAUGCGUGAUAGUAUAAUUUAUACCAUUUUUCUCGUUAAGAGGAGUCCGUUCAAAUUCCAUUAAUUUUAGAGAAUGAAAAGAUUUGUGUGUACUAUCUGGCUUCUCCCCAUUUUUCAGUCACACUUGGGUGCUUUGUGUGGCCCCUUGAU